rnacentral:tRNA from 1 species
UCCCUGGUGGCUCAGACGGUAAAGCGUCUGCCCACGAUGCGGGAGACCCGGGUUCGAUUCCUGGGUCAGGGAG